rnacentral:sRNA from 1 species
GCUGGGCACAGUGGUGCACGCCUGUAAUCCCAGUGGCUUGGGAGGCUGAGGCAGGAGGAUCGCAAGUUCAAAGUCAGCCUCAGCAACUGUGAAGCGCUAAGCAACUUGGGGAGACCCUGUCUCUA